GUAGUCUCGCACAGAUGCAUAUCAAUAAGCGGAGGAAAAGAAACUAACAAGGAUUCCCCUAGUAACGGCGAGUGAAGCGGGAAGAGCUCAAAUUUGAAAUCUUAAAGGGUUUCCCUUUACGAAUUGUAGUUUAAAGAAGUGUUUUCUGUUGAGGUUUUGGUAAAAGUUCUUUGGAAUAGGACAUCAUAGAGGGUGAGAAUCCCGUAUUUGACCUUUACUUUCAACUUUGUGAUACACUUUCAAAGAGUCGGAUUGUUUGGGAAUGCAGUCCAAAAUGGGUGGUAAAUUUCAUCUAAAGCUAAAUAUUGGCGAGAGACCGAUAGCGAACAAGUACCGUGAGGGAAAGAUGAAAAGAACUUUGAAAAGAGAGUUAAACAGUACGUGAAAUUGUCAAAAGGGAAGCGUUUGACACCAGUGUUGUUUUUCUGAAAAUCAAUUAAAGAACUGUUUAUGCUAAGCUGUUUAGACUUAUCAGCUAACUGUUUAGUUUUGAGCUUUUCUUUAAUGCACUUUUCAGUUAACAAGUCAACAUCAAUUUCUUUUGCUGUAAAAAAGCUUGAGGAAGGUGGCUUGAGAUUCGUCUUAAGUGUUUAUAGCCUCUUGCCUAUGCAGUCGGAGAGAUUGAGGUCUGCAGCGUAGAUCCUUCGGGGCUAAAUGCAUUUGUGCUAAGUUAUAGCAUUUUAUAGACAACUUGUUGACUAUGAUUUGUCUUGUAGCUUACUCGCUUAUGUUAUUUUACCUACGCUUAGGAUGUUGAUCUGUAGUGCGUGCGC
rnacentral:rRNA from 1 species